GGUGUUUCAUAACAAAUGACAUCAUGAAGACCCACAGAAACAGAUGGUCAGACUUUCUGUGCCCUGUGAACUUAAUUCCGUGCCAUCUACUGGAAUGGAAAGUGGCUGAGCCAUGCAGAGGGAGUUUCUAAGAAGAGUGGGUGGAAGGGCCGGCUUUCCCUUCAUUAAACAGGAAGCGUCUGGCUGAACACACUGGCAAGGGCAUCCAGCAGUGGGCACAUAGAGCCAGGGCUCAGACCCACAGUAGGGGUGGAGUAAUGCUACAAGACCCUAAAGAGGAAGUAUCCAUGCUCAACUCCACAAUCUGUAGGGCCUGGAACAGUGCUGAUUCAGUUUCGGUCUGGGCACAGUGCUCACCAUCAGGCUUGUCAGAACCAUCCUGUCCUGCUAUCCUCCAUCUCUGUCAACAUGCAAGCCAGAUGUUUUAUCCAUAUGAAUACUUAGUCUUCAGUCUCCACUACAGCUGUAUAAAGUGACCUGUUACUGCC
rnacentral:lncRNA from 1 species